GUAUUGAUUGGUGCUUGCAUCAUGAUUUACAUUUGAGUGAGUGGCGAACUGGUGAGUAACACGUGGGAAACCUGCCCAGAAGCGGGGGAUAACACCUGGAAACAGAUGCUAAUACCGCAUAACAACUUGGACCGCAUGGUCCGAGUUUGAAAGAUGGCUUCGGCUAUCACUUUUGGAUGGUCCCGCGGCGUAUUAGCUAGAUGGUGAGGUAACGGCUCACCAUGGCAAUGAUACGUAGCCGACCUGAGAGGGUAAUCGGCCACAUUGGGACUGAGACACGGCCCAAACUCCUACGGGAGGCAGCAGUAGGGAAUCUUCCACAAUGGACGAAAGUCUGAUGGAGCAACGCCGCGUGAGUGAAGAAGGGUUUCGGCUCGUAAAACUCUGUUGUUAAAGAAGAACAUAUCUGAGAGUAACUGUUCAGGUAUUGACGGUAUUUAACCAGAAAGCCACGGCUAACUACGUGCCAGCAGCCGCGGUAAUACGUAGGUGGCAAGCGUUGUCCGGAUUUAUUGGGCGUAAAGCGAGCGCAGGCGGUUUUUUAAGUCUGAUGUGAAAGCCUUCGGCUCAACCGAAGAAGUGCAUCGGAAACUGGGAAACUUGAGUGCAGAAGAGGACAGUGGAACUCCAUGUGUAGCGGUGAAAUGCGUAGAUAUAUGGAAGAACACCAGUGGCGAAGGCGGCUGUCUGGUCUGUAACUGACGCUGAGGCUCGAAAGUAUGGGUAGCAAACAGGAUUAGAUACCCUGGUAGUCCAUACCGUAAACGAUGAAUGCUAAGUGUUGGAGGGUUUCCGCCCUUCAGUGCUGCAGCUAACGCAUUAAGCAUUCCGCCUGGGGAGUACGGCCGCAAGGCUGAAACUCAAAGGAAUUGACGGGGGCCCGCACAAGCGGUGGAGCAUGUGGUUUAAUUCGAAGCUACGCGAAGAACCUUACCAGGUCUUGACAUACUAUGCAAAUCUAAGAGAUUAGACGUUCCCUUCGGGGACAUGGAUACAGGUGGUGCAUGGUUGUCGUCAGCUCGUGUCGUGAGAUGUUGGGUUAAGUCCCGCAACGAGCGCAACCCUUAUUAUCAGUUGCCAGCAUUAAGUUGGGCACUCUGGUGAGACUGCCGGUGACAAACCGGAGGAAGGUGGGGAUGACGUCAAAUCAUCAUGCCCCUUAUGACCUGGGCUACACACGUGCUACAAUGGAUGGUACAACGAGUUGCGAACUCGCGAGAGUAAGCUAAUCUCUUAAAGCCAUUCUCAGUUCGGAUUGUAGGCUGCAACUCGCCUACAUGAAGUCGGAAUCGCUAGUAAUCGCGGAUCAGCAUGCCGCGGUGAAUACGUUCCCGGGCCUUGUACACACCGCCCGUCACACCAUGAGAGUUUGUAACACCCAAAGUCGGUGGGGUAA
rnacentral:rRNA from 1 species